rnacentral:lncRNA from 1 species
UUGACUGGAGCACAUUGCAUCGCCAGGGAUCUUGAGGACCAGCGGUCGUCAGGGCACCCACUUGGGAAUUGCUGAGCUGGAAGAUUGGUGAUCUGAGAAACAGGAAAACACCCAUGAUGGGGCAGUGUGAAUGAAGCAAUUCUGAUGUUCUGCCCACUGAACAGGAGAUCAGGAAUUGGUCCUCCAGGAGCUGGUGUGCCAGAGCCCACAGGUCCAGGGGCUGGUCCUCAAGGAGUUGGUUUGGCUGAAUACACAGGUCCAAGUGGUGUUGAUGAGAAUUGUUGGAAUUCUUCAUGAAACGGAGCUUGAAGUUCCCACACCAAGAAACAUUUGUUGGGUGCUGAGGCCACAGUGGACAACACCCUUCUUGAGAUGAUCUCAUACACUUCCUGUGGUGGUAUCUUUCUUGCACAAAUAAAACCUGUCUAGGGGUCAGAGAAUGGAGCUUGCCACUAGCUAACCAUAGAGGUCUGGAGGUCUGUACAGAUAGGCAGGAAGUGAUGUAGCUGGGCAGAAACAGGGUAUAAGUAGUGAGAAAUGCUCUGUUCUGUCUGGAGAUGCUUAGUAGGUAAGGUGUGCUGUGGCUUGCUUCUUCUCUCUGAUCUCUCAGUGUUUCG